rnacentral:lncRNA from 1 species
CUCGUCGAAAGUCUUCCAUUCUUCAAACUAGAUUAUUUAAAAAUGAAAAAGGAAGAAAGGAAAGCGAGGUCAUCUCAUUGCUCUAUCCGCCAAUCAGGAGGCUGAAUGUCAGUUUUGAACUAAAAGCCGCUCCGCUCCUCUUCUAGAUUUGGAAAACAAGCGAAAUUAAACUAAACCGCUGCACGCCUCUGACGCGACAUCUGGACACGGCGCGGCGCUGGCGCUGCCGGAGCUGUCGACCCGGCCUGGCGCCGGACUAGUGUCCCUUUUGAUGAGAAGAAUAAGCCUCAUUCUGAUUCAACAGCAGAGAUCAAAGAAAAGACUUCUGUUUUCUGGCCACCAGAUAUAUGUUAUCUGUGCUUAAAGAAUUGAAAAACACACAUCAAAGGAGAAUUUUCUUGGAAAGAGAGGGUUCAAGCAUCACUGUUAGGUGUGCUGGAAUCCUUUCCCGAGUCAGUACUGCUUUCUAGAAGAAAACCGGGGAGAUCUAUUUGGAAUGUAUCUAACUCCAAAGAAACCAUCAGAGGUAACAGUAUCUUACAGACAGCAAGUUGAACAUUGUGGGAUGCAUGAGCUAUUGAGGCCUUUGCAGCUUUCUGCUACAUGGAGGCUAGGGCCAGAGUCAAGAUUUAUGCUUUGCAGCACACUGGUCAGCUGUUUUUGCAAAUCAGAUUAAAUGAUUUUUAAAUGAGGCUGAGAGCAUGGGAGAUACUAAUGUGUGUUUCCUUGUGAGCUACUGCAUAAGUUAGGAAAUUGAAAUACAGAAAGAUGAAAAGUGAUUUGCCCAAGCAUAUAGAUCAAAGCUGUGGCAGA